GUUUGAUCAUGGCUCAGAUUGAACGCUGGCGGCAGGCUUAACACAUGCAAGUCGAGCGGGGGAAGGUAGCUUGCUACUGGACCUAGCGGCGGACGGGUGAGUAAUGCUUAGGAAUCUGCCUAUUAGUGGGGGACAACAUCUCGAAAGGGAUGCUAAUACCGCAUACGUCCUACGGGAGAAAGCAGGGGAUCUUCGGACCUUGCGCUAAUAGAUGAGCCUAAGUCGGAUUAGCUAGUUGGUGGGGUAAAGGCCUACCAAGGCGACGAUCUGUAGCGGGUCUGAGAGGAUGAUCCGCCACACUGGGACUGAGACACGGCCCAGACUCCUACGGGAGGCAGCAGUGGGGAAUAUUGGACAAUGGGGGGAACCCUGAUCCAGCCAUGCCGCGUGUGUGAAGAAGGCCUUAUGGUUGUAAAGCACUUUAAGCGAGGAGGAGGCUACUUUAGUUAAUACCUAGAGAUAGUGGACGUUACUCGCAGAAUAAGCACCGGCUAACUCUGUGCCAGCAGCCGCGGUAAUACAGAGGGUGCGAGCGUUAAUCGGAUUUACUGGGCGUAAAGCGUGCGUAGGCGGCUUAUUAAGUCGGAUGUGAAAUCCCCGAGCUUAACUUGGGAAUUGCAUUCGAUACUGGUGAGCUAGAGUAUGGGAGAGGAUGGUAGAAUUCCAGGUGUAGCGGUGAAAUGCGUA
rnacentral:rRNA from 1 species